rnacentral:rRNA from 1 species
UUGCUACUUUGCUGACGAGUGGCGCACGGGUGCGUAACGCGUAUACAAUCUACCUUUUACAGGGGGAUAGCCUUUAGAAAUGAAGAAUAAUACCCCAUAGUAAGUUAUUUUGGCAUCAUUAUAACUUUAAAGAUUUAUCGGUAAAAGAUGAGUAUGCGUUCUAUUAGCUAGAUGGUGUGGUAACGGCACACCAUGGCAACGAUAGAUAGGGGCCCUGAGAGGGGGAUCCCCCACACUGGUACUGAGACACGGACCAGACUCCUACGGGAGGCAGCAGUGAGGAAUAUUGGACAAUGGAGGCAACUCUGAUCCAGCCAUGCCGCGUGCAGGAAGACUGCCCUAUGGGUUGUAAACUGCUUUUAUACAGGAAGAAACAGCUCUACGUGUAGAGCCUUGACGGUACUGUAAGAAUAAGGAUCGGCUAACUCCGUGCCAGCAGCCGCGGUAAUACGGAGGAUCCAAGCGUUAUCCGGAAUCAUUGGGUUUAAAGGGUCCGUAGGUGGAUAAUUAAGUCAGAGGUGAAAUCCUGCAGCUCAACUGUAGAAUUGCCUUUGAUACUGGUUAUCUUGAGUUAUUAUGAAGUAGUUAGAAUAUGUAGUGUAGCGGUGAAAUGCAUAGAUAUUACAUAGAAUACCAAUUGCGAAGGCAGAUUACUAAUAAUAUACUGACACUGAUGGACGAAAGCGUGGGGAGCGAACAGGAUUAGAUACCCUGG